rnacentral:tRNA from 1 species
GGUGGGGUGGCAGAGCGGUUGAAUGCACAGGUUUCGAAAACCUGCAUCCCGAUUAAAUCGGGAUCGCGAGUUCAAAUCUCGCCCCCACCG